UGGUUAAGUGACUAAGCGUACACGGUGGAUGCCUGGGCAGUCAGAGGCGAUGAAGGACGUACUAACUUGCGAUAAGCGCAGAUAAGGCAGUAAGAGCCGUUUGAGUCUGCGAUUUCCGAAUGGGGAAACCCAACUGCAUAAGCAGUUACUGUUAACUGAAUACAUAGGUUAACAGAGCAAACCGGGGGAACUGAAACAUCUAAGUACCCCGAGGAGAAGAAAUCAACCGAGAUUCCGGUAGUAGCGGCGAGCGAACCUGGAUUAGCCCUUAAGCACUCGGUGAAGUAGGUGAACAAGCUGGAAAGCUUGGCGAUACAGGGUGAUAGCCCCGUAACCGACGCUUCAUCGAGCGUGAAAUCGAGUAGGGCGGGACACGUGAUAUCCUGUCUGAAUAUGGGGGGACCAUCCUCCAAGGCUAAAUACUCCUGACUGACCGAUAGUGAACCAGUACCGUGAGGGAAAGGCGAAAAGAACCCCUGUGAGGGGAGUGAAAUAGAACCUGAAACCGUGUACGUACAAGCAGUAGGAGCACCUUCGUGGUGUGACUGCGUACCUUUUGUAUAAUGGGUCAGCGACUUAUAUUCAGUGGCAAGGUUAACCGUAUAGGGGAGCCGUAGCGAAAGCGAGUCUUAACUGGGCGCUCAGUCUCUGGAUAUAGACCCGAAACCGGGUGAUCUAGCCAUGGGCAGGUUGAAGGUUGAGUAACAUCAACUGGAGGACCGAACCGACUAAUGUUGAAAAAUUAGCGGAUGACUUGUGGCUAGGGGUGAAAGGCCAAUCAAACUCGGAGAUAGCUGGUUCUCCCCGAAAGCUAUUUAGGUAGCGCCUCGGACGAAUACUACUGGGGGUAGAGCACUGUUAAGGCUAGGGGGUCAUCCCGACUUACCAACCCUUUGCAAACUCCGAAUACCAGUAAGUACUAUCCGGGAGACACACGGCGGGUGCUAACGUCCGUCGUGGAGAGGGAAACAACCCAGACCGCCAGCUAAGGUCCCAAAGUAUUGCUAAGUGGGAAACGAUGUGGGAAGGCUCAGACAGCUAGGAUGUUGGCUUAGAAGCAGCCAUCAUUUAAAGAAAGCGUAAUAGCUCACUAGUCGAGUCGGCCUGCGCGGAAGAUGUAACGGGGCUAAGCAAUACACCGAAGCUGCGGCAAUAUCUUUUAGAUAUUGGGUAGGGGAGCGUUCUGUAAGCCGUUGAAGGUGAAUCGUAAGGUUUGCUGGAGGUAUCAGAAGUGCGAAUGCUGACAUGAGUAACGACAAAGGGGGUGAAAAACCUCCUCGCCGGAAGACCAAGGGUUCCUGUCCAACGUUAAUCGGGGCAGGGUGAGUCGACCCCUAAGGUGAGGCCGAAAGGCGUAAUCGAUGGGAAACGGGUUAAUAUUCCCGUACUUCUGACUAUUGCGAUGGGGGGACGGAGAAGGCUAGGUGGGCCAGGCGACGGUUGUCCUGGUUCAAGUGCGUAGGCUUGAGAGUUAGGUAAAUCCGGCUCUCUCUAAGGCUGAGACACGACGUCGAGCUGCUACGGCAGUGAAGUCAUUGAUGCCAUGCUUCCAGGAAAAGCCUCUAAGCUUCAGAUAGUCAGGAAUCGUACCCCAAACCGACACAGGUGGUCGGGUAGAGAAUACCAAGGCGCUUGAGAGAACUCGGGUGAAGGAACUAGGCAAAAUGGUACCGUAACUUCGGGAGAAGGUACGCUCUUGAUGGUGAAGUCCCUCGCGGAUGGAGCUGACGAGAGUCGCAGAUACCAGGUGGCUGCAACUGUUUAUUAAAAACACAGCACUGUGCAAAAUCGCAAGAUGACGUAUACGGUGUGACGCCUGCCCGGUGCCGGAAGGUUAAUUGAUGGGGUUAGCGCAAGCGAAGCUCUUGAUCGAAGCCCCGGUAAACGGCGGCCGUAACUAUAACGGUCCUAAGGUAGCGAAAUUCCUUGUCGGGUAAGUUCCGACCUGCACGAAUGGCGUAAUGAUGGCCACGCUGUCUCCACCCGAGACUCAGUGAAAUUGAAAUCGCUGUGAAGAUGCAGUGUACCCGCGGCUAGACGGAAAGACCCCGUGAACCUUUACUACAGCUUGGCACUGAACAUUGAACCUACAUGUGUAGGAUAGGUGGGAGGCUAUGAAGACGUGACGCCAGUUGCGUUGGAGCCGUCCUUGAAAUACCACCCUUGUAUGUUUGAUGUUCUAACUUAGACCCAUUAUCUGGGUUGAGGACAGUGCCUGGUGGGUAGUUUGACUGGGGCGGUCUCCUCCCAAAGAGUAACGGAGGAGCACGAAGGUGGGCUAAUCACGGUUGGACAUCGUGAGGUUAGUGCAAUGGCAUAAGCCCGCUUAACUGCGAGAAUGACGGUUCGAGCAGGUGCGAAAGCAGGUCAUAGUGAUCCGGUGGUUCUGUAUGGAAGGGCCAUCGCUCAACGGAUAAAAGGUACUCCGGGGAUAACAGGCUGAUACCGCCCAAGAGUUCAUAUCGACGGCGGUGUUUGGCACCUCGAUGUCGGCUCAUCACAUCCUGGGGCUGAAGUCGGUCCCAAGGGUAUGGCUGUUCGCCAUUUAAAGUGGUACGCGAGCUGGGUUUAGAACGUCGUGAGACAGUUCGGUCCCUAUCUGCCGUGGGCGUUGGAAGAUUGAAGGGGGCUGCUCCUAGUACGAGAGGACCGGAGUGGACGAACCUCUGGUGUUCGGGUUGUGUCGCCAGACGCAUUGCCCGGUAGCUAAGUUCGGAAUUGAUAAGCGCUGAAAGCAUCUAAGCGCGAAGCGAGC
rnacentral:rRNA from 1 species